rnacentral:rRNA from 1 species
AUUGAACGCUGGCGGCAGGCCUAACACAUGCAAGUCGAGCGGAUGAAGGGAGCUUGCUCCUGGAUUCAGCGGCGGACGGGUGAGUAAUGCCUAGGAAUCUGCCUGGUAGUGGGGGAUAACGUCCGGAAACGGGCGCUAAUACCGCAUACGUCCUGAGGCAGAAAGUGGGGGAUCUUCGGACCUCACGCUCUCAGAUGAGCCUAGGUCGGAUUAGCUAGUUUGUGGGGUAAAGGCCUACCAAGGCGACGAUCCGUAACUGGUCUGAGAGGAUGAUCAGUCACACUGGAACUGAGACACGGUCCAGACUCCUACGGGAGGCAGCAGUGGGGAAUAUUGGACAAUGGGCGAAAGCCUGAUCCAGCCAUGCCGCGUGUGUGAAGAAGGUCUUCGGAUUGUAAAGCACUUUAAGUUGGGAGGAAGGGCAGUAAGUUAAUACCUUGCUGUUGUGACGUUACCAACAGAAUAAGCACCGGCUAACUUCGUG